GAUGAACGCUAGCUACAGGCUUAACACAUGCAAGUCGAGGGGCAGCGGGAUUGAAGCUUGCUUCAAUUGCCGGCGACCGGCGCACGGGUGAGUAACGCGUAUCCAACCUUCCGUACACUCAGGGAUAGCCUUUCGAAAGAAAGAUUAAUACCUGAUGGUAUGAUGAGAUCGCAUGGUAUCAUCAUUAAAGAUUUAUCGGUGUACGAUGGGGAUGCGUUCCAUUAGGUAGUAGGCGGGGUAACGGCCCACCUAGCCUACGAUGGAUAGGGGUUCUGAGAGGAAGGUCCCCCANAUUGGAACUGAGACACGGUCCAAACUCCUACGGGAGGCAGCAGUGAGGAAUAUUGGUCAAUGGGGCGGAAGCCUGAACCAGCCAUGCCGCGUGAAGGACUAAGGCCCCUACGGGUCGUAAACUUCUUUAGACGCAGAGCAAUAAGGUCCACGCGUGGACCGAUGAGAGUAUGCGUAGAAUAAGCAUCGGCUAACUCCGUGCCAG
rnacentral:rRNA from 1 species